AUAGCUGAUGUUAUUUGCAAUCCUUAAACACAAUUUCUGCUUUAUUACUCAUUUAUAAAGUGCUGUUCUGGAGCUGCUAUAUAUGUUGCUGAUGGAAUCCACCGAUCUGGGAGAAACCACGGAGAUCAUCUGGUUGCUAUGGUGAUUGUCUUCAGUGGAGGGACAGGACAGUAAUGAGGGCAGCAUUCAACAUUGUUAGUUCCGUGCCUUUGAGCUGAAGUUCUCGGCAAGGCAUGGGGGAGAGAGAACACAGAAGUGGAGGUCAGGAUCGGGGAGGGUGGGUGUCACAAUAGGGUUUUGUACCCACAUCUGCCAUUCACUAAGUGAUAUGAGCAUGUUCCACAGCUUUCUUGAACCUCACUUUGCUCACCUCUACAAUGGGCCUGACAU
rnacentral:lncRNA from 1 species